rnacentral:rRNA from 1 species
AACGAACGCUGGCGGCAGGCCUAACACAUGCAAGUCGAACGAGAAGCCACCUUCGGGUGGUGGACAGUGGCAGACGGGUGAGUAACGCGUGGGAACGUGCCUUUCUGUACGGAACAGUCCCGGGAAACUGGGUUUAAUACCGUAUACGCCCUUCGGGGGAAAGAUUUAUCGCAGAGAGAUCGGCCCGCGUCUGAUUAGGUAGUUGGUGGGGUAAUGGCCUACCAAGCCGACGAUCAGUAGCUGGUUUGAGAGGAUGAUCAGCCACACUGGGACUGAGACACGGCCCAGACUCCUACGGGAGGCAG